rnacentral:tRNA from 1 species
CAAAGGGUAGUUUAAUAAAAAAUAUUAAUUUUGGAAAUUAAUGAUGAGAUUUUCUUUCCUUUGA